AGGGGGGCCCUGUGUGACUACAGAGGUCACAAGUCCAUGAAGCAGGUCUUGCCCCUUGAGUGUCACUUGGACACUGGCUGCCCAUGUGACAUGCUGCAUCCUCUGCCUGGAACAUCCUUCCACUGCCAUCUCUUUUUCUCUAUGAUGUACUACACGCCUGCCAAUAAAUAACUCUAAUGUGACCUCCUUUGGGAAGUUUUCCCAAAGUCUUAAAAAGUUCUUACUCAAAGUCUUACAAAGUUCUUACUCAAAUCACUCUUUCUUCAGUACUCCCCUAGCUCUUGCACAUAGUUUUAUUAACUCUUUAUCACAGUGUUUGUUUUUUUUUUUCUUGAGACAGAGUUUCACUCUUGUAACCCAGGCUGGAGUGCAGUGGCAUGAUCUUGGCUCACUACAACCUCUGCCUCCUAGGUUCAAGCAAUUCUCCUGCUCUCAGUCUCCCAAGUAGCUGGGAUUACAGUUGUGAGCCACCACACCCAGCUAAUUUUUUUAUAUUUUUAGUAGAGAUGGUGUUUCACCAUGUUGGCCAGGCUGGUCUCAAACUCCUGAUCUCGGGUGAUCCUCCUGCCUCAGCCUUCCAAAGUGCUGAUAUUACAGGCGUGAGCCACCACGCCCAGCCGAUCACAGUGUUUUUAUAAUUAUUUCUUUAAAAGUUUCUCUCCUAGAGUUUCUGCAGGACUUGGCCUAUGGAUUGUGCUUUGUUUGUUUUUUGGGUAACUCUGGCACCUCAUACAUUACCUAGCACAUGGGAGUUGAGAGAAUGAAUCAGCUGGAGUGGAUGUAUUUGGAUGGGUGUGUUAAAAAAUCAGCCAUAUAUUGCUUCACAGUUACACCUCAUCUUCAGGUUGUUAAAUCUGACUGGACUCUUAAUUUAAUAGAGGCCAGCAGGUCCUGAUGACUGGUUCUUCAUUCCAGGAGCCAUAGAAUAGUAUCAGACAGUCCCUUGAAGGGGUGGGAGGUACCUGGACCUGAAAAUUUUGGAGGCUCCCGCAAGCCAUUUACACCUAUCUCUGAAUCUCCUUAUACCUUUCACGCUUUUAAAAUGGAGGUGCAAUCUCAUUAGGGCCCACUGGCCCCAUCAAUCAGUGCCAGGUUCCAGGAACCCAGUAGUUUCAGAUUGCCCCCAGUCCUUUGCAACACUGGUUUUCAAAUGGGGUAUGCAAUAGCCGUAAAGUAAAUGAAGGCUUGGUAAGCGGUACUCAUGCAUGGAUAUAUUUAAGGAAAUUCAUUUCCAGAUCCUCAACUUCCAGAUGUACUCCACCUGAGAAAGUUCCUGGGGUUGAGGCUCCAAGCCGACUUUUUCUUCAUAAUUGUAGUUCUGCUAGUCUUCAUAAGAAAGGCCAGGCAUGGUGGCUCACGCCUGUAAUCCCAGCACUUUGGGAGGCAGAGGUGAGUGGAUCACCUGAGGUCAGGACUUCAAGACCAGCCUGGCCAACAUGGUGAAACCCUGUCUCUACUAAAAAUACAAAAAUUAGUCAGGCACAGUGGCACGUGCCAGUAAUCGCAGCUACUGGGGAGGCUGAGGCAGGAGAAUCGCUUGAACCCUGGAGGUGGAGGUUGCAGUGAGCCGAGAUCACACCAUUGCUCUCUAGCCUGGGCAAGAGUGAGACUCCAUCUCAGAGAAAAAAAAAAAAAUGGAAAAAAGAAAAGAAAGAAAGGCAUAUAUCUGACCCACCCUGAAUGAUACAUUGCACGGGGCAAUUAAAAAAAAGUUCAGAACUGGGGACAGUUAAAAAUACAAGAUUCAGAAAAUAGCCUUCUAUUAUCUUUUAAAAAUAUGUCUAUAUUUUUGUUUGUUUGUUUUGAGACAGGGUCUCGCUCUGUUGCCCAGGCUGGAGUGCAGUGGCGCAACCGUAGCUUACUGCAGCCUCAAUCUCCUGAGUUCAAGUGAUCCUCCCGCCUCAGCCUCCCAAGUAGCUGAGACUACAGGCGUGUGCCACCACACCCACCUAAUUUUUAAAAAUUUUUCAUAGAGAUGAGGUCAUACUAUAUUGCCCAGGCUGGUCCUCAAUUCCUAAGCUCAAACAGUUCUCCCAUCUUGGCCUCCCAAAGUGUUGAUAUUACAGGUAUGAGUCACUGCACUUGGCCUAAUGUUUUUUAAAAAUUUUAUUUAUUUAUUUUCUUAGAGAUAGGGUCUUGCUCUGUUGCCCAGGUAGAAGUAUAGUGGCAUGAUUAUAGCUCACUGCAGCCUUGAACUCCUGGGCUCAAGCAAUUCUCCCACCUCAGCCUCCCAAAUAGCUAGGACUACAGACACACACCACCACACCUGGCUAAUUUUUUAAUUUUUGUAGAGAUGGAGUUUCUCUAUGUUGCCCAGGUUGGUCUCAAACUCCUGGGGUCCAGUGAUCCUCCAGACUCAGCCUCCCAAAACAUUUGGAUUACAGGCUUGAGCCGCUGUGCCCAGCUCACAUUAUUUAUCAAAAUUAUUUUAAGUGGUAUGUGAGCAAAAGACUAUGAAGACCACUGGUUCAAGACCAUAGGCUAUGGUGGCCUUUAGGAGGUUUUCUAAGAGGUAGUGGCCUAGUCUUCUCCACCUCUAGUCCUCUGAAACUGAAUCUGUUUCACUAGGCAGACCAAAAAAAUCAUCGUAGACCAAGAAAGUCAUUGCACUUGAUUUCUUUGUAAUUACCACCAUGGUUGACCAGUCUUCUUUUUGAAAUACACUUCCCCUGACUUUGGCAUCAUUGCACAUUCCUGAUUUUCCCCUCCUUGGCCCCUUGUCCUAAGUUUUUGCUAGCUCCAUCUCUUCCAGUUGACCUUUUAAAUUCUGGAGUUUCUCAGGGAAGUUAUAAGCCUUCUACUCUUUCUAUUAUUUUCUAAGAAAUGUCAUCCAUGACCACAGUUUCAAAUAUAAUCUGUAUCCCAACAACUCCCAACUUUCUAUUUCUAGCAUAGACCUUGCUCCCAAACUCCUGAAUCUGAUUGCUUAUUCCACAUCUAUACCUUAAUGUCUCGUGGGAUUCCCGAACUGCAAAAAGCCAAAGCCAAGUUCAUAUUCUUUCCAUUCAUAAUGUCUUCCUCCUCUAGGCUUCCCCUGCUUAGUAACAGUGCUCUAUCUGCCCAGUUGUUCAUGCCAGAGACCUGGAAGGCAUUCUUGAUGUCUCUUUAACCUCCCCCAUAGCCAACCAAUAAUUUAUUCCUAUGAAUUCUACUUCAUGUAAGAUUUCCCUAAGCCUCCAGACCAGGCUACAUACCCUUAUUCUAUACCCUCAUAUAGCACCUUGUACUUCAUAGUAUUUAUUCAAACUGUAAUUAAGUAAUUAUUUUGUGUAAUUCUGUCUCCCCCUCUACACCAUAAGCUCCAUGAACACAAGGACAAUACCUGCUUAUUUCUGGCAUAUAGUAGGCUCUCAAUUAAUAUUUGUUUAUUUAUUUUUUGGGGAUGGAGUCUUGCUGUAUCACCCAGGCUGGAGUGCAGUGGUGUGAUCUCGGCUCACUACAGCCUCCGCCUCCUGGAUUCAAGCAAUUCUCCUGCCUCAGCCUCCCGAGUAGCUGGUAUUACAGGUGCGUGCCACCAUGCCCGGCUAAUUUUAGUAUUUUUAGAGGUGGGGUUUCACCAUGUUGGCCAGGCUGGUCUUGAACUCCUGGCCUCAAGUGAUCCACCUGCCUCGGCCUCCCAAAGUGCUGGGAUUACAGGCGUGAGCCACCACGUCCAGCUGAAUAUUUGCUAAAUGAACAAAUGUAAGCACUAUUUAUAGUGUCGUAGUCUUUCCAGUGUUGUGUAGUGUUCUGCUGUGUGUUUUUGUGAUUUAAAACCUAUUGCUAUGUUCACGGUAGGGGGCAGCAGAGUACGCGGAUACUGAGAGAGUCCAGUACUCAGUAUUAAAAGGGCAACUUCAGAUAAAUGACUUAACCUUUCUGAGACUAUUUCCUUCUCUGGAAGUCAGGGUUAAGUCUCCUUCCCUUGGAUCAAAAGAGAUAAGCAGAUGUAAAAGGGCUUCACUGCAGGACAAACAGGAGACAAUGUGAUUAGAGUCAGUUAAGAUAAAUAUUUGUUGAAUAAACAG
rnacentral:lncRNA from 1 species